UACGGAGCGGGUUAGCGUUGUUCGGAAUUACUGGGCGUAAAGCGCACGUAGGCGGAUUAGAAAGUUGGGGGUGAAAUCCCGGGGCUCAACCUCGGAACUGCCUCCAAAACUCCUAGUCUAGAGUUCGAGAGAGGUGAGUGGAAUUCCAAGUGUAGAGGUGAAAUUCGUAGAUAUUUGGAGGAACACCAGUGGCGAAGGCGGCUCACUGGCUCGAUACUGACGCUGAGGUGCGAAAGUGUGGGGAGCAAACAGC
rnacentral:rRNA from 1 species